CAACCAAACGCUUAUUGACUGAGAUACGUUACGUUACAACAGAGCGUCUAGUUGAGUGAGACUAGAUUUUAUGUUAUACAAUCGACAAUCGUCGUAGAAGUCUUGAGAGAUGUUGAAAAUAAUAUCCAGCAUGACAAACCGUGCGGUGGCUGUCGUUUGUUUGGGAGUUGUUACGUGGUAUUUCAUGUCUAAAGUUGAUGAUGCAACAGUCGAGAGACGAAAGCAGGAAGGCUAUGCGGUAGACCCAGUAACUGCAAGUUAUAGAAGAAAAUUUAUGAAAAAUACUGACAAGGCACAGGAAACUCCUUGACGAAAGGAAUUGUCUGGCAUCUGUGAUAUCAUACAACAUGUGUAUUGGUGGACUUGAGUUUCUUUAAUCCAGAUACAGUGUUUUAUUUACAGAAAGGAACUCAGGUGUGAUUUGUAUACAUUUGACAUUAUCAUGUUUUCCUGAAAUGGUAAAAUGUGUAGGACCUGAUCAUGAGCUUCAAUUCUUAGAAAAAAUAUCACCUCCUGCAUGACAAUUCAAAUCUUGUCUUCCUCAGGAAGAGACAUGUUAUGGGCUCUUAGUUCAUACUUACUAGUAGUUACCAUCUGGAAGGGUGGAACUUUUAAUUUGUUCCUAAGAAUGCAAAGAGACAUGAAUGUUUGUUUAUCUCUGUAUGUGUAUGGACAAUAUCGUAGAACACAUUUUACAUUUCCUGUUAUGAUAUAUGUGCUCAUGGUGUUUUGAAAUGCUAUGUUAAGAAACUGAAGAGUUCAGUCUUGUCUGUUCUGCACCAAAAUGGCAAAUCGGUUUACCAGUUAACAUAUACAUGUACAUACUGUGUACAAAUUUCAUUUGUAAUGUCACAAUGACUGACCUGAGAGAAGUCUAAGGAAACCUGCUGCAAAUUGCCUUUUAUCCAGCUUUUUUUUUUUUACAUUUUUAAAUUAUUCUCUAUGACCAAAAGGCACAAGUUCAUGAUAUUGGGUUAGUAGCAUGCUAGGGUAAAGGGCUACAAAGAUUGUUCAAAUCAAUGACCUUGACCUACUUUCACAAUUAUGGUUCAAUUGUGUUCCAACAGGCCUAGAGUGAUGAUGUUGGGCAAGAAGCAUGCUGUGAUGAAAUUCUACCAAAGUUGUUAAAAAAUGAUCUUGCCCUAUGUCCAAGGUAAUAAAGGUCAAAUCUGUUAAAAUCUA